rnacentral:rRNA from 1 species
UACGUAGGGUGCAAGCGUUGUCCGGAAUUAUUGGGCGUAAAGAGCUCGUAGGCGGCCUGUCGCGUCGGAUGUGAAAAUCCAAGGCUCAACCUUGGACCUGCAUUCGAUACGGGCAGGCUAGAGUUCGGUAGGGGAGACUGGAAUUCCUGGUGUAGCGGUGAAAUGCGCAGAUAUCAGGAGGAACACCGGUGGCGAAGGCGGGUCUCUGGGACGAUACUGACGCUGAGGAGCGAAAGCGUGGGGAGCGAACAGG